rnacentral:rRNA from 1 species
GACGAACGCUGGCGGCGUGCUUAACACAUGCAAGUCGAACGGUAAGGCCCUUCGGGGUACACGAGUGGCGAACGGGUGAGUAGCACGUGGGUGAUCUGCCCUGCACUUCGGGAUAAGCCUGGGAAACUGGGUCUAAUACCGGAUAGGACUCCUGCCUGCAGGGGUGGGGGUGGAAAGCUUUUGGGGUGUGGGCUGGGUCCGCGGCCUUCCAGCGUGUUGGUGGGGUGAUGGCCUACCAAGGCGACGACGGGUAGCCGGCAUGAGAGGGGGACCGGCCACACUGGGACUGAGAUACGGCCCAGACUCAUACGGGAGGCAGCAGUGGGGAAUAUUGCACAAUGGGCGCAAGCCUGAUGCAGCGACGCCGCGUGAGGGAUGACGGCCUUCGGGUUGUAAACCUCUUUCAGCACAGACGAAGCGCAAGUGACGGUAUGUGCAGAAGAAGGACCGGCCAACUACGUGCCAGCAGCCGCCGUAA